UGGGGAAUAUUGCACAAUGGGCGAAAGCCUGAUGCAGCAACGCCGCGUGAGUGAUGAAGGCCUUCGGGUUGUAAAGCUCUGUCUUUUGGGACGAUAAUGACGGUACCAAAGGAGGAAGCCACGGCUAACUACGUGCCAGCAGCCGCGGUAAUACGUAGGUGGCAAGCGUUGUCCGGAUUUACUGGGCGUAAAGGAUGCGUAGGCGGAUUUUUAAGUGAGAUGUGAAAACCCUAAGCUUAACUUGGGGACUGCAUUUCAUACUGGAAAUCUAGGGUGCGGGAGAGGAGAAUGGAAUUCCUAGUGUAGCGGUGAAAUGCGUAGAGAUUAGGAAGAACACCAGUGGCGAAGGCGAUUCUCUGGACCGUAACUGACGCUGAGGCAUGAAAGCGUGGGUAGCAAACAGGAUUAGAUACCCUGGUAGUCCACGCCGUAAACGAUGAGUACUAGGUGUAGGAGGUAUCGACCCCUUCUGUGCCGCAGUUAACACAAUAAGUACUCCGCCUGGGAAGUACGAUCGCAAGAUUAAAACUUAAAGGAAUUGAC
rnacentral:rRNA from 1 species